AGGCUUACCAGGCUAUUAGUUUAUUUAAAUAUUUUGCAGUUGAUCUCGAGAAAAUGAGUAAGCUUGCCCACCGUACACCCAAUCGUACAUUCUCUAAUGGAAAUGGAGUCAUCAUCACCUGAAGUCAGAGAAAGAACUAGAUAACUAGAUGUUUUGUUCUGUGCAGAUUUUUCACAGAAGCAAAUCAAUUCGAGUACAUCUUCAGUAAUAAGGCAAUCAAUCGGACAGUGCUGAGGACAGGAAAUAUUAAAUAUUUCCGCACAGUAUGCUCCGCAUCAAUUAUGUUUAUUCCUUAUGAUAUGCCAUAGCAGAUCUCUGCUGUUUCACAUCGGGCUAUUGUGAGUGAAUUCAAUGGAAAUGGCGGCUGUGGGUGUGGCAACAAUGAAUUCAGGCUCACAAUAUCUAAAUCUUUAUUAAUUCGACUAUUUUGUGGAAUAAAUUAAAGUUAGGAAGCUACAAAUGCCUCUGGAAAAGAGCAGCCUGAAAUGUACAUUUAUUGCUGAUCUCGGCGUGGAUCUGAAGUCGAGACAGUCAAAGAAAUUACCAGGAUUGCCGCGUGACAAUGGGGCCAAGUGUGUGACAGUUCCAUUUUAGCCAUAACAAUGGCAACGGGGAGUGGGGAGUGCGAGGUGCGAGGUGGAGCGGAGCAAGCGACUCAUAAAUCAUUCGCGACAUCGAUGUCGACUAUGACGACGACUGGCAAUCGCAGCAUCUGAUUGACUACUGUCAAACGGAUGGGCGAACGGAAUCAUCGGGGCAGCCCCCGCAAACAGGAGAGGCUAUGAAAAACCUACACCGAUGCUGUUCCUCCA